ACAUUUUCCUUUUAUAACAAGUUUGAUCUGGAUUAAAAGAAGCAACUUGCAAACUAUUAUACAUAGAAGAGAUAAACAACAAGGUCUUACUGUACAGCACAAGGAACUCUAUUCAAUAUCCUGUGAUAAACCAUGAUGGAAAAGAAUAUAAAAAAGAUUAUGUGUGUAUCUGAAUCACUUUGUUGUACAGCAGAAAUAACACAACACUGUAAAUCCACAAUACUUCAAUUUAAAAAAAAGAAGAGGAGUUCCCAUUGUGGCUCAGUGGUUAAUGGAUCUGACUAGGAGCCAUGAGGUUGUGGGUUUGAGCCCUGGCCUUGCUCAGUGGGUGGAGGAUCUGGCGUUGCCUUGAGCUGUGGUGUAGGUCACAGACAUGGCUCAGAUUCCACAUUGCUGUGGCUGUGGCAUGGGCUGGCGGCUGAAGCUCUGAUUGGACCCCUAGCCUGGUUACCUCUAUAUGCCACAGGUGUGGCCCUAGAAAAGACAAAAAAAAAAAAAAAAAAAAAAAAAAAAAAAAAAGAAGAAGAAAAAGAAGGCCAGAGAGGUCAAGACAGAAGAGGAAUGAUGCAAAAUGCUCUGUGGCUUUGGAACUGCCUCUCCUCUGUUCCUUCCUAUUUUUCUUGGGUUUACACAGCUUGCCCAGGAGGAGACCAAGAUCUGCACUCCUGGUGGAGUGACAGGGGAGAGCAGUUCCCAAAGACAUUGUUUGAGAUGCCAGCACACCUUUGACUCUGAGAGUAAUCAAAGAGUCCCCUCCUUCCCUCUGUUACCUGGGCCACUAUACACCUAUUAGGAUGGCUAAAUAAAAAGUACUGACAAUACCAAGUGUGGACAAGGAUGCAGAGCAACUGAAGAUCUCAUACACUGCUUGUAGGAAUGCAAAAUGGUGGAGACACUCUUCAGCAGUUUCCUACCAAGUUCUUACCAUACGACCCAGCAAUCCUAUAUUCCUGGGCAUGUAUCCUAGACAAGUGAAAACUUAUGUACACACACACAUACACACACACACACAAACAGAUUAUACACAAAUGCUUUUUGCAGCUCUAUUCAUGGUCACCAAAAGCUGGAAAUGAUCUAAAUACCCUUUGUGGGAGAAUAGAUAAACACACUGUGGCAUAUCCAUACAAUGAUGUAAUACACAGCAAUAAAAAAGGAAACAACAAUUGAUGCAUGCAACAAAUUGGAUGAACUGCAAAGGCAUUACGCUAAGUGAAAGCAAUCUUGUAAGUUACAUAGAAUGACAGAUGACAUUCUAGAAAACAUAAAACGGAUGUUAAAGAGAUCAGUGGUCACCAGGGGUUAGGGGUUGGGGGAGGCUGUGACCAAACAGGGACGAACAAGAGUUUUUUAUGGUGAUAGAACUGUUCUGUAUCCUGAUUGUGGUGGUGGUUACAUGAAUGAAAAAAGUACACACAAAGAGGUAAACUUUAUCAUAUAAUAAUUUAAAAAAUAAAAUAAAAUUUAAAUGGGUUUUAAAGAGAGAGAGAAAAGAGCCAAGUUUGGAAUCAAUAAAAUAAAAAAUAAAAAAUAAAAACACCCUCUACCCAUCUUUCUCUCUCCUUCCAAUUUCAUUUAUGGACUGUAAACUCUCUCCAGUGCCUCACUUUUCAUGCUUAGGAGGAAUGAUGUCAUUUUCUGGGGGUUAAAAAGUACAAGAAAUAGUAGGAAAGUAAAAUUUCAAAUGACAUUUGCAACGAUUGCUAGAUUUUUGAAUAUGGCAUUUUUUCUUUUGUCAAACUUCUGUGAGAAUCUCACCUUUAUUCCAACUUCUGAGUAUAGGCUAAGAAAAAGAAAUGUUAGGAAUGAAAGAAAAGUAAAAUCAAACAAAAAUUUUCAAAAGAUUUCAAUACAUCAUUUUCAGGGAAGAGAACAUUCCACAAAAUAGAUAUGUGAUGUAAUCUUUUACUGCCACCCCUCCAUUCCCAGAAAAAUGACAUAAUUACCAAAUAAUCGCCAUGUCAACUGUUGUCUGUGGGACACUCCAGAUUCCUUUCCCAUGAACAAAUUACUGAGCAAAACAUGGUCUAGACAUAAACAAAAAUGCUUUAAGCAAUGGUGAACUUCUCCCAGUUAGCCCUCAUUUUUGAAAAGAGAGAAAAACAAGCUAAUUAACUAUUCUAAGCAAUUUACCUAAGAAGUCAUGCCACCAAAAAACUCUAGAAAAAUCGUUCCAGUCUUUAAAGGAGCAUCCAGAUAGACUGCCAAAAGGCCAUCGCAAGAAUGAACCUCCAGGAGUUCCUAUUGUAGCUCAAUGGGUUAAGGACCUGAUGUAGUCUCUUUGAGGAUGCAGCUUCAAUCCCUGGCCUUGCUCAGUGGGUUAAGGAUCCAGCAUUGCCACAAGCUGCUGCAUAGGCACAGAUGCAGCUUGGGUCUGGUGGGAGGCCCCUGGGGUUUCCUUCCCUUAGUCUUGAAGCAGGUACCUAGGAAUGGGUUGGAGGAGGGGAGGUUGCACUGGCAACAAACAGGUAGCCAUGCCCCCCAGAACAAAGGCAGAGGGGGAGGGGCAUAAGGAUGGGGAAGCGGGAAACACAGAACUGGGAUAAGAGUGGCCAGUGAUGUUCCCUACCUCGGGGGGUCACCCACUCCACAUGGGUGUCAUCAACCCCAGCUGUCCUUCACUACAGAGAACUUGGGGCCUGGAAAGUCAUACCUCUGGGAACAUGCUCCUGCUGUAUAUUAUAGUCUCUGGAUGUUUUCAAAUCAAUUGCCAUUAGAAAGAAAAAAACCCACAUCUUCCAGUUGUAGCUGUUGGCAUCCUUCCAUCGAUCACAUCAUUGUCCAAGUGUGACAACCAUGCAGGUCUCUUGAUGACCAGGACAUCUCAAUUCUAAUUGCACUUAAGUUUCACCAGGGCCCAGGCUGCAGAGAUGGAUUGACGAAUAAGGCCCAGGCAGCAAUAUUUCUAACUCUCCAGUGGACUGUAAUGAUAAAAGCCGCUGACAACACCACAGACCUCGUACUGUUUGAUUUUUUUAGCAUAAUAUGGACAUGGCUCCAAUCCCUAACAUAUUUCUACUACAUUCUAAACACCCGUUGCCCACUUUUCCUAUAUUGGUGCUGUCUUCAUUAGGUAAGAUCUUUGGAUUACCUUUUUUUUUUUUUCCCUCUAGGGCCACACUCACGGCACAUGGAAGUCCUGGACUAGGGGUAAAAGUGGAGCUGCAGCUGCUGGCUCGCGCCACAGCAACAGAACGCCAGAGCUGAGCCAUGUCUGUGACCUACACCACAGCUCACAGCGACACUGGGUCCUUAACCCACUGAGUGAGGCCAGGGAUCAGACCCGAAACCUCAUGGAUAAUAGUCAGGUUUGUUAUCACUGAGCCACAACGGGAACUCCCAGAUUACUUUUAAUGCACACAAAAUAAGGCUAUUGGACUUCCUAUUCUGUUAGACUUAGUAUUAACAGGUCUUUCUCUUAAGGCCUUGGAUUGUAAUAAAAUGCACAAAAAGGGUAAUAAUUUGUAUUUUCUAUGGGAGUUCAUUUAAUUGGUGAUUUCAACACAGGCUAUUUAGCUUUUAAUUAUGUCAUCCUGAAUUCUGAUCUUCUGCCUUCAGACAAAACAACAGGACCAUUUUCCUUCACUCAACUUUUAUAAAGUAGAUCAAAACCAGCUCUUUAAAUUGUGUGUUCCCUUCACAGGUAAUUUAAACAGCCUCUGUCAGUAAUGAAGUCCUAAUACAGCCCG
rnacentral:lncRNA from 1 species